rnacentral:rRNA from 1 species
GAUGAACGCUGGCGGAAACGUGCCUCAAACAUGCAAGUCGAGCGGGGCUAUGUAAUAUCGCAAGGUAGAACAUAGCCUAGCGGCGAACGGGUGAGUAACACGUGGGUAACCUGCCUGGAAGACAGGGAUAACGAUUCGAAAGGGUCGCUAAUACCUGAUAAUAUCCUUUCAUCGCAUGGUGAUAGGAAGAAAGGGGAAACCCGCUUUCAGAUGGGCCCGCGUCCCAUCAGCUAGUUGGUAAGGUAAAGGCUUACCAAGGCGACGACGGGUAGCCGGUCUGAGAGGAUGUACGGCCACACUGGGACUGAGAUACGGCCCAGACUCCUACGGGAGGCAGCAGUUGGGAAUCUUAGGCAAUGGACGAAAGUCUGACCUAGCGACGCCGCGUGAGGGAAGAAGGGCCUUCGGGUUGUAAACCUCUGUCAUGGGGGAAGAAGGAAGUGACGGUACCCCAAGAGGAAGCCCCUGCUAACUACGUGCCAGCAGCCGCGGUAAAAGUCUCUAU